rnacentral:lncRNA from 1 species
CUCAUAUUUUAUUGGAGACACAACAUUGAUAAAUUUUGUAAGUUUCAACAAGAAAGCCCGAAUGUUCCAUAAUUAUAAAGCAUCUUGAAGUAAAAUUACACCAUUAAUUCUUCUUCUUAAUUUAGAAGAACAAGAAGAAGUCGAUAAACACGCAUAAUGUCAACAACUGUGACACAUCAAGUUGGUUACAAGUACAAAUACAUGCAUAAAAUAACAUACACAGUACAUUUUAUUUAUUUCUAUCCCAAUAAUUCCCAUGCAUGGAUAGAUUAACGUAACACUUGGUAAUUAUCAAUCUUGGGCGAAUAGGCCAACAGUGGCCUGAGCGACAAGUCCAAUAUUAGCAAGUGAGAGUUGCAAGGAUCCCAGCAAUGCCAGUUCUUGGUAAAUUACCAGUUGCUGAACAAGCUAGGGUUCCAUUCACUGGUAAACCUAACACAUUUUGACCAUUUAUAGUUAAUAAUGCAUGGGUAUGUGUGGCUGUAGCUAUGAAGAAAAGUGCUAGAGCAAGAAUGGAAGUUGUGGAAGAGGCCAUGGUAUUGAGAUAUAUGUGAUACUUAAUUUAGAGGAAAUGCUUU